rnacentral:rRNA from 1 species
CUUUCUUUGCUGGCGACCGGCGCACGGGUGAGUAACACGUAUCCAACCUGCCCUUUACUCGGGGAUAGCCUUUCGAAAGAAAGAUUAAUACCCGAUAGCAUAAUGAUUCCGCAUGGUUUCAUUAUUAAAGGAUUCCGGUAAAGGAUGGGGAUGCGUUCCAUUAGGUUGUUGGUGUGGUAACGGCCCACCAAGCCUUCGAUGGAUAGGGGUUCUGAGAGGAAGGUCCCCCACAUUGGAACUGAGACACGGUCCAA